rnacentral:lncRNA from 1 species
AAAAAAUAUGCGCCCAAAAAUUUGAAGAAAAUCUACCGCAACUUUUUAAAAGAGAGGAAGAAAAUCAACGCCUGGGAGCUUAUUGAAGAGGCAUCAGUAGCUCAGCUUUUCAACAAGGACCCCCACCUCCCAGUAACUUCAUCUUCCCAACGAAAACAGGACCUCCCACCAACGACUAUCUGCUCACGUCGCUCCCUCCUCUCCAAAUCCAUCUCCGGCGAGCUUCAGACCUUAACGCCAUCAUCCCAUCCAGUGACCAUGUAACCUUCCGCAAUAUCACUCCAACAGAUCCACACAAAAUAGUCAUGAAACAGCUUCAAAAUCAGUCCAAAAUUAGCUCUGAAACAAUGGAGUUCCACUGAGCCGAUUUGAGUUUCUGCCUGAAGUUGCUGUUGCAGGUUCAAGUCUGAAGUUGCAGUUCGAUUUUGCUGAUUUCGUUCAUAUCUGUGUCGAUUUUGGGCUAUAAUUGUUGUCUCGCUCCGUGUAAUUCCUAGAGUUUAAUUAGUGGGAAGCAUAUUUCAGGUCUGUCACCAUAUUAACCCUUUACUUAUUGAUCUUUUCUUGUAUGAUACUUGGAUGGCAGACUUGUGCGAUUUUUAUGCCUAUUAGUGACAUCUUGAAUUAUAAAAUGUGAUCCUGAAAUGAAUUUGGCUAACAUGGUUCAAAGGGAAAUGGCGGGGGUGUUCAGUAGACGACAAUUUGCAUUCCGAAUUUAUACAAUCUUCUUUUCUCCUCAGAAAUUGUACUAAAAUAGUUUAAUUGGAUGGUGAUUUACCAUAAAGUUCUGGUUUAUUACAAUUGAUGAAAAGGGGUACACAUUUUUCAUGUAAUUAUAAAACAAAAAUUUUGCAAAUCUUUUAGCAACUUCUGUUCCGAACCCACUGAAUUUGG